rnacentral:rRNA from 1 species
GACGAACGCUGGCGGCGUGCCUAAUACAUGCAAGUUGAGCGCUGAAGGUUGGUACUUGUACCAACUGGAUGAGCAGCGAACGGGUGAGUAACGCGUGGGGAAUCUGCCUUUGAGCGGGGGACAACAUUUGGAAACGAAUGCUAAUACCGCAUAAAAACUUUAAACACAAGUUUUAAGUUUGAAAGAUGCAAUUGCAUCACUCAAAGAUGAUCCCGCAUUGUAUUAGCUAGUUGGUGAGGUUAAGGCUCACCAAGGCGAUGAUACAUAGCCGACCUGAGAGGGUGAUCGGCCACAUUGGGACUGAGACACGGCCCAAACUCCUACGGGAGGCAGCAGUAGGGAAUCUUCGGCAAUGGACGAAAGUCUGACCGAGCAACGCCGCGUGAGUGAAGAAGGUUUUCGGAUCGUAAAACUCUGUUGGUAGAGAAGAACGUUGGUGAGAGUGGAAAGCUCAUCAAGUGACGGUAACUACCCAGAAAGGGACGGCUAACUACGUG